UUCCAUUAAAAAACAGAGGAAUCAUUAAAGGGAGGCAGAAGGAGAGAACUUUUGAGGCCGCUUUUCAGGUGUCCCAUUCAGAUACAAGAAGAAAAAUAACACAAAAACAUACCUGUGGGGCGUAUCCAGGAGGCACAUAAAUAGGAGGCACAGAACCAUUUGGGGACAUCAUUGGAACCUGAGCAGGACCUGAAUGGAUCACAGAAAUAUGUGUUAAUCCAGCAUUACUUAGGAAGCUAAAGUUGAAAAUAAUUUGAAUUCCACUUUGAAUCCUCAUCUAAAGAUAAAAUAGGCAUUUUGGGAAGACGUGUUUUUUUCUAAGAAUGAACAAACAAGGUGCAGAGAAGGGUAGAUGGAGAGGGAGAAGCAGACUCCCCACAGGGAGCAGAGAGACGGAUGAAGGACCCCCAAGAUCACAACCUGAGCUGAAGGCAGACAACCAACUGAGCCACCAGGAACAGAACUUAUCUCUGGAGGCCUGCCACAGAACGUUUGCAUCCUCAUAUAUAGUCCUCUGAGAAGAAAUUAGGCCUCUACAUUUAAACACGAACAUUCUUUCUCCUCAAAGACUAUCACUUCUCAGGAGAACUGGAAAACUGAAGGGAGAUGAGAGCUGGAGGGCAAGUCUCACCAGCUAACACGUUCCUUAAGUGGAAAAAAGGAGAUUAAAAAACCACUGUGUUGAUGGCUUGCUAAAGACUAUGAAGAGAAGAAAAAGUUCCCACAAGAGUGAAGACAGAAAUAAAGGCCUCACAUCCCUUUCAUUCUCUUCAGAUUCACGCAUUACCAGACUGGGAAGUAAAGAGUCUUAUUUAUGUAGAUCAUUUAUGAUAAGGUUAAGCCAAGAAAGGAGAUGGAGCUUUUCCCAGGCUCUUUUGCUUGUGGCCAUAAGACAUUCUGGAGAUACUUAGAUUGCAGGUGUGGGACCUUCCUUUUCAUUCUUGUCUCCUAACUAUACAGUUUCUCUCCCAAAAACAACCAUUCUUUGCUUCUUAUAAAUCCUUUCAGAGAUAUUCUGUGCUUGUAAAAGCAAUUAUAUAUAUAAUAAUAUAAUAAUAAUUGUAUAAUAAUAUACAAAUGAUAGGGGCACCUGGGAGGCUCAGUUGGUUAAGUCUCUGCCUUUGGCCCAGGUCAUGAUCUCAAGAGUCCUGGGAUCAAGAACUACAUCAACAUUCCUGCUUCGUGAGGAGUCUGCUUCUCCCUCUCCCUCUGCCCCUCCCCCCUGCUUGGGUGC